CUCAGUGUGAAGAAGCUGGGACUGCUUUCCCCUUGGAUUUGUAUGUCUGGAGGAAGAGGCAGGACAGGGCUGGAGCUGAGAGCCUUGAGGUGCCAUACAGAACCCCUGGUUUACACAGAGCCCCACAGCCAGGGUUUAGCCUGUGUUUAACCUGUGAUGUUCCUGUAAGCACUUUCAGCAGUUCAUGCUCAGUGCUCACCACAGGCUCUUGGAAAGAAGCCACGGGUGGAGUUUGAACUGAGAGUCCUGGACCGUGGGUUGCUGAUGAUUUUAACACAGCCAGAUGUGUCCUGUUCCUUCCUCAAAACUGAGCUGCUGCGCCUCUCUUCAGUCUGUGAAAGCCCUCCAGAAGCUUUGAGCAGCCUGCUUUAGUGGAAGGUAUCCCCGCCCAUGGCAGGGGGUGGAAUUCAAUGCUCUGUAAGUUCCCUUCCAACCCAAACUGUCCCAUGAGUCUAAGAAACUAAACCAAAAUGUUCCAACCUACUAUCACAGUAGGGGAGAAGAAAUGCAUUUGCUUCAGCUGGACUUAAAUUAAAGAAAAAAUGACUGAAUUUAGGCUAAUAUGUCCAAGUAAAUCUAAGUGCAACUACA